AUUGAACGCUGGCGGCAUGCCUUACACAUGCAAGUCGAACGGUAACAGGUCUUCGGAUGCUGACGAGUGGCGAACGGGUGAGUAAUACAUCGGAACGUGCCUAGUAGUGGGGGAUAACUACUCGAAAGAGUGGCUAAUACCGCAUGAGAUCUACGGAUGAAAGCAGGGGAUCGCAAGACCUUGUGCUACUAGAGCGGCCGAUGGCCGAGAUAGGUAGUUGGUGGGAUAAAAGCUUACCAAGCCGACGAUCUGUAGCUGGUCUGAGAGGACGAUCAGCCACACGGGGACUGAGACACGGCCCAGACUCCUACGGGAGGCAGCAGUGGGGAAUUUUGGACAAUGGGCGCAAGCCUGAUCCAGCAAUGCCGCGUGCAGGAUGAAGGCCUUCGGGUUGUAAACUGCUUUUGUACGGAACGAAAAGCCCCGGGUUAAUACCCUGGGGUCAUGACGGUACCGUAAGAAUAAGCACCGGCUAACUACGUGCCAGCCGCCGCCGUAA
rnacentral:rRNA from 1 species